GAUGAACGCUAGCUACAGGCUUAACACAUGCAAGUCGAGGGGUAACGAGAGGAAAGCUUGCUUUCCUUGUCGACGACCGGCGCACGGGUGAGUAACGCGUAUCCAACCUGCCCCCAACUAAGGAAUAACCUUGCGAAAGUAAGACUAAUACCUUAUAAUUUCCUCAGAUGUCAUCUGACGAGGAAUAAAGAUUUAUCGGCUGUGGAUGGGGAUGCGUCUGAUUAGCUUGUUGGCGGGGGAACGGCCCACCAAGGCAACGAUCAGUAGGGGUUCUGAGAGGAAGGUCCCCCACCUGGGAACUGAGACGAGGUCCAAACUCCUACGGGGGGCAGCAGUGCGGAAUAUUGGUCAAUGGGCGGAAGCCUGAACCAGCCAAGUAGCGUGCAGGAUGACGGCCCUAUGGGUUGUAAACUGCUUUUAUACAGGAAUAAAGUUAGCCACGUGUGGUUAUUUGUAGGUACUGUAUGAAUAAGGACCGGCUAAUUCCGUGCCAGCAGCCGCGGUAA
rnacentral:rRNA from 1 species